rnacentral:rRNA from 1 species
GGUGGAUGCCUUGGCACCAGGAACCGAUGAAGGACGUGGGAGGCCGCGAUAGGCCCCGGGGAGUUGUCAACCGAGCUGUGAUCCGGGGGUGUCCGAAUGGGGAAACCCGGCAGUCGUCAUGGGCUGUCACCCGCAUCUGAAUGUAUAGGGUGUGUGGAGGGAACGCGGGGAAGUGAAACAUCUCAGUACCCGCAGGAAGAGAAAACAACUGUGAUUCCGGGAGUAGUGGCGAGCGAAACUGGAUGAGGCUAAACCGUAUGUGUGUGAGACCCGGCAGGGGUUGCAUGUACGGGGUUGUGGGAGUUCUCUUGUCCGGUCUGCCGGCCGGUCGGCGAGUCAGAAAUUGUUGAUGUAGGCGAAGGGUAUGCGAAAGGCCCGGCGUAGAGGGUAAGACCCCCGUAGCUGAAAUGUCAGCAACUUGUUUGAGGAUCACCCGAGUAGCAUGGGGCCCGAGAAAUCCUGUGUGAAUCUGGCGGGACCACCCGUCAAGCCUAAAUAU